UUGGCUGGAGCCAAAGGGGCAGGGGCAGAUCAAUGCUGGCUGGAGUCAGGCUGCAAGGAAAGUCCACUUGCUGCAGUCCCAUUGACACACAGCUCUUGGGAAGCAUCUGAACCUAAAAGCUGUUAGCUCACAAAUGCUACUUGACUGCCAAAGUCCAUUUUAAAACUGGGAAGUGACAUAUGAUGUUGGGACACUAAUCCAGGAUCCCUCCCUGCCUUACACUGCUGCACAGUCUUCUUGGACCUUUGAUUGGGGAGAGUGGGAAGCAAUGGAAGAAGCCAGCUGUGUAUUCCCCCUCCUUCCCACCCUGCAGAGGGGGAAGUGUGUGGGUGGAGCUUUGGCACCACUCCCUUAGUGCACCAGCCAGCACCGAUGAAUUAGCAGGAGGCCCAGCAAAAGUGACUACCGCUCUUGAGGAGAAAGGAGGAGUUAGGUACCAUCAAGGCACAGUCUAGCCUUGGGAGCAGGAACUUAAUGUUAUUUAAUGGAAUUCACCCUCCAAAGGUGGGUGGAAUUUUAAUUUUUUUUAAAAGGUCCUCGACUGCCAACCUUUCACAGUGCCUCUGUAUGGCAGGUGUUAAUGGCACUGGCUUGCAUCUGUCUCAUGGGCCAGAUUCUCAACUGGUGCAAAUUGGCAUAACUGCAUUGAGCUCUGGUGAUUUACACCCACUGAGGAUCUGGCCUCCUCCAUUUGAUCAGUGUCCCGUUGUACACACAUCAGCUGAUAGGUGGCUACAUGAAAUGGGAAAGCCACGGGAUUGGGGGUGCCCCACAAGGUAUCUCUGAGGGUUGCUUCAUUUCAAGUCAUCUUGUGCAGACAACCUGCUGCUGUUUCGUUUUUGUCCCUGGCAUCUUCUCUGUCUGGCUCAACUUGGCAGCAAGAAGCCGACUGGCUGGCUGUGCUUCCUCACUUUACACACUAUAAUCUUUACCCUCAGUUCAGCACUGAUGCUUAUAGCCACAGACAGGCGAUUUGCUGGGAUUUCUGUUCCUUGUCAUGCUCAGCCGUGGCAUGAAAAUUUCAUGUUGAUUAAUGAGAGCUGCUAGACACUAUGAGCUAUCCCCAGUGAAUCACGCACUAAUUAGUGUCAGCUUUGGUAAAGGCUGUCAAAAGAGGGGAGACGGCUUACAAAAUGAAAACAUCAAGUGUGAGCUGCCCCUGAUUUUCCUACUUAUUUUGCUGUCAUUGCAUGCAAGCAAUAAAUGAUUAGCCCAG